AUGCAGGAUAUUGUUGUUCAAACCAUCUGGCUUGCCUCUUUGUGGAGCAUUUGGAAGGCUAGAAACACAAAGGUUUUUCGAAGCAAAGCAUCACCGAUAUCAUAUAUCAUGGAAGAAAUCAAGCUUCUCUCUUGGAAUUGGUUAAGAAACAAGGCCAAGAGCUUGAAUAUGCCCCUAUGCUUUUGGUUUAUAUUUCCAGUUGAAUGUUUGAAGGGUGUCAACUGA